rnacentral:sRNA from 1 species
AGAUCAUUAUUGAAUUAUAGGUGAGGGUUGUAGCUGGCCCCUCGGGGCACGUGCACGCCUGAGCCCUUAAAUCCACAACACACACCUGUGAACCCACCGUAGGCCUUCGGGCUUAUGCACAUAACACACUCCGAACGCAUUAUAGAAUGUGACUUUUAAAAUAAAAAGAAUACAACUUUCAACAACGGAUCUCUUGGCUCUCGCAUCGAUGAAGAACGCAGCGAAAUGUGAUAAGUAAUGUGAAUUGCAGAUUUUCAGUGAAUCAUCGAAUCUUUGAACGCACCUUGCGCCCCUCGGUAUUCCGAGGAGCAUGCCUGUUUGAGUGUCAUUAAACCUUCAACCCCACCAAUUUUUUUUUGGCUUGGGGCUUGGACUUGGAGUGUGCUGGCAAAGGUCGGCUCCUCUUUAAAUGCAUUAGUGGAAGAUUGACCUUUCCCUUCAGCGUGAUAAUCCUGUUGCGCUGUGGGGUCAGAGCUUUCCGCUCACAAACGGUCCUCGGACAAAGGAAAGCCCAUCUAUUUUGACCUCAAAUCAGGUAGGACUACCCGCUGAACUUAAGCAUAUCAAUAAGCGGAGGA